ACUCUAGAGACAACAGUUGAAAUGGAGGAAAGGACAGAGGAGAGCGCAGAAGGGACAGUAGAGUCAAAUGGAGGCACCAAAGAACAGGCUGAGGCUCAGGUGACAAUUCUGCACAGCAGUCUCGAAAAGAAGGACCAGAGAAUAAAACAACUACAGGCACGCCUUGCAAGGCUGCAAAGGCUAAGACGCAGGAAAAGGAAGCCAGCUGCCAUGCCAAAAAAAUCCAAUCCCAAUGAAAUUAUGGAGGAGAUGCUCCAGAGGUGUCCUGAGGGCUGCCGGAACUUCAUAAGGGCACAACUGUCAGAGGCAGGGAAAAAGGACAGAGGGAGAAGGUUCAACAGACACAUGAAGGAUCUAGGGCUGCAGCUGUUACACAGCAGCCCAAAGGCCUACCGACAAAUUAAGGCCAUAUUCUCGCUUCCUUCUGGAAGGACACUUCGGCGUUACGUUAGCGCACGUGUGGGAUAUUUCUCUGUAAAUACGAAUUUAUUAAAUAAGACUACUCAAC